GUGAGUCAUCGAGUCUUUGAACACACCUUGCGCUCUUGGGUAUUCCCAAGAGCAUGCCUGUUGGAGUGUCAUGAAUCCCUCAACACGAACCGUUUUUUAAUGAAAGCGAGUUUGAUCGUUGGAUGUGAGCGCAAUGCCUUUCGCAAGAAUGGCUCGCUUGAAAUGGAUUUGUGGGCUGCUCAUGUGCACAACAAUGUGCUCGGAUAGCAUCUUGGCCUUUUCAUCGUUAUGGUUUUCCUUCGAUGAAGUCUGGGCCUUGAGGCAACAUGUUCGAGCGGGCAUUGGCACCGAGUUGGCUUGCUUUCUAACCCAAUCUAAUUCAUCACAUCUGGCCUCCAAUCAGGUAGGACUACCCGCUGAACUUAAGCAUAUCAAUAAGCGGAGG
rnacentral:rRNA from 1 species